UACGGGGGGAGCAAGCGUUGUUCGGAUUUACUGGGCGUAAAGGGCGCGUAGGCGGCCACCGCAAGUCGACUGUGAAAUCUCCGGGCUUAACCCGGAAAGGUCAGCCGAUACUGCGGGGCUAGAGUGCAGAAGGGGCAACUGGAAUUCUCGGUGUAGCGGUGAAAUGCGUAGAUAUCGGGAGGAACGCCGGUGGCGAAAGCGAUCCGCUGGGGUGCAGUGUGACGCUGAGGCGCGAAAGCCAGGGGGAGCAAACGGG
rnacentral:rRNA from 1 species